GUGAACGCUGGCGGUAGGCCUAACCCAUGCCAGUCGCACGGCAGCACAGUAAGAGCUUGCUCUUACGGGUGGCGAGUGGCGGACGGGUGAGGAAUACAUCGGAAUCUACUUUUUCGUGGGGGAUAACGUAGGGAAACUUACGCUAAUACCGCAUACGACCUACGGGUGAAAGCAGGGGAUCUUCGGACCUUGCGCGAUUGAAUGAGCCGAUGUCGGAUUAGCUAGUUGGCGGGGUAAAGGCCCACCAAGGCGACGAUCCGUAGCUGGUCUGAGAGGAUGAUCAGCCACACUGGAACUGAGACACGGUCCAGACUCCUACGGGAGGCAGCAGUGGGGAAUAUUGGACAAUGGGCGCAAGCCUGAUCCAGCCAUACCGCGUGGGUGAAGAAGGCCUUCGGGUUGUAAAGCCCUUUUGUUGGGAAAAAAAAGCAGCAGGUUAAUACCCCGCUGUUCUGACGGUACCCAAAGAAUAAGCACCGGCUAACUUCGUG
rnacentral:rRNA from 1 species